rnacentral:rRNA from 1 species
UACGUAGGGACCAAGCGUUGUUCGGAUUUACUGGGCGUAAAGGGCGCGUAGGCGGCGUGGUAAGUCACUUGUGAAAUCUCUGAGCUUAACUCAGAACGGCCAAGUGAUACUGCUGUGCUAGAGUGCAGAGGGGGCAAUCGGAAUUCUUGGUGUAGCGGUGAAAUGCGUAGAUAUCAAGAGGAACACCUGAGGUGAAGACGGGUUGCUGGGCUGACACUGACGCUGAGGCGCGAAAGCCAGGGGAGCAAACGGG